UACGGGGGGGGCAAGCGUUGUUCGGAAUUACUGGGCGUAAAGGGCGCGUAGGCGGGUGCUCAAGUCUGUGGUGAAAUCCUCCGGCUCAACCGGAGAACUGCCAUGGAUACUGGGUGCCUCGAGGGUGAUAGGGGUAUGCGGAACUAUCGGUGGAGCGGUGAAAUGCGUUGAUAUCGAUAGGAACUCCGGUGGCGAAGGCGACAUACUGGAUCACUUCUGACGCUGAGGCGCGAAAGCCAGGGGAGCGAACGGG
rnacentral:rRNA from 1 species